ACAGACUGAUUAAAGGAUGUGGUGACAGGACUCACAGCCACUUACAUAGUUGUAUUUUGGAAAUGAGCAAAGGCAUGAGAGGUGAAUUACACAGGCGUCCAUCACACAGAAGGAUGGGUGAGCCUCAUUCAUACAAAUGACUGAAAAAGAAUGUAGACUGAACCCCAUCUCACAGGACCUGCUUGGCACCCAAGAGCUCACAGCCGAAAUGGUUGUAAGUUCAAUAAAACAAGAUUCUGCAAUCAAAUAUCAAUACAAAUGAAUAUCAAAACAAACGAAAGGCAUCCUUGAAGAAGAUGAAUCGUGAGGCAACAUUGAGGGCUUCUAUGAUUUCCGUACUGAGAACACAUGAUGCAGUGACUGACACAGCAAC